CAGUCGCCCCUCAGGGGACGCACUCCGGACGAGAGCACCGCCGUACCCGGUCACGACAAGACGGCGAGA
rnacentral:ncRNA from 1 species